rnacentral:tRNA from 1 species
GUCUCGAUAGCUCAGCAGGUUAGAGCAUGGGGCCGAUAAUGCCAAGGUUACAGGUUUGAUCCCCGUAUGGGGCA